rnacentral:misc_RNA from 1 species
GGUGAAGGUCUGCUUUGAAUGCUAUUGCCCUUGAUAGUUCGGCAAUCGCUUCAUCUACCUUGUGGCUAUCCAUCAACACUGCGGCACGGUAUCUGUAAGGGUACACCCGAAGAGGGUCCAAUUGAGUGACCAUAUCUAGAUCUGCUUUGGUCAAGUCACGGUCACCAUACUCGGACCUCUUCUCGUAUGCAGAUGCAUUAUUGCGCGCUUUUUCAAUUAGUUUGGUCAUCUCCUCAUAUGCAGCAGCCUUAUCAUUUCUGAGAUAAUGAACCCGAGCAAGCCCUUGAUGCGCUCGAGUGUGACGGAUUUUGAGGGCAUUAAUGUAGCAAUCAGCCGCCAAGUCUAGCUUCCCACAGUCAACAUAAACACUUCCAAGAUUGUUCAGCGCCUGACCUUUGCGCAACCUAUCCGAAGGGCACUUCAAAGCAUCUUCUAGGAGGGAAAUAACUGUGGAAGAACAAGACGGAUCUUGGCUUGAGUCAGCCAGUGCAUAGGCCUUCAAGAAGAAAGCUUCAAAGGAUCUCUUAAUUUUAAUUGAUUCCUCAGCCUUUUGGAGCCCUUCCUCGCAAUGACCUGUAUCAUACAAGAUCCAACCCUCAUAAACCAGCCUCUCAUGUUCGCUGGAUGCAUGCUGACGAGCUAAUUGCAAACUCCGCAUGGCAGCUUCAGGACAGUUCAACCGUAGAAGAAGCAAGGACUGCCUGAAGUACAGAACACCUUUUGCUGCAUCAGACUCGAGCAUCUGGUAGAUUACAGACAGAGACCCGAUAUCAUCAACUGAAGACCAUCUAUCAUACAACUGAA